rnacentral:rRNA from 1 species
CCUACGGGAGGCAGCAGUGGGGAAUAUUGCACAAUGGGCGCAAGCCUGAUGCAGCAACGCCGCGUGAGGGACGACGGCCUUCGGGUUGUAAACCUCUUUUAGUAGGGAAGAAGCGAAAGUGACGGUACCUGCAGAAAAAGCACCGGCUAACUACGUGCCAGCAGCCGCGGUAAUACGUAGGGUGCAAGCGUUAUCCGGAAUUAUUGGGCGUAAAGAGCUCGUAGGCGGUUUGUCACGUCUGCUGUGAAAACUGGAGGCUCAACCUCCAGCCUGCAGUGGGUACGGGCAGACUAGAGUGCGGUAGGGGAGAUUGGAAUUCCUGGUGUAGCGGUGGAAUGCGCAGAUAUCAGGAGGAACACCGAUGGCGAAGGCAGAUCUCUGGGCCGUAACUGACGCUGAGGAGCGAAAGCAUGGGGAGCGAACAGGAUUAGAUACCCUGGUAGUCCAUGCCGUAACGUUAGGUAACGUAGAUAGUAGGACGACUCCUACGGUUUCGUUGUUGUCGUCGAGCGUACGACAUUAACGUUACCCGUCCGUCGGGAGGUACGGCCGGCGACGGACGUAAACGUACGAAAGUUAAGUUAGUACGGCGUUGAGACGNGCCGACGGACGACGACGAGGGAGGAGG